AUUAUGACAAUAAUUCAUUAAGUACUUUUUAGUAAUUUGUUACAAUCUACCUCAUUCUGAUUCUGAUUCCAAAAUAAAAUAAACACAUCAAUGAGAUUCCAGCCCAUUCUGAUUCCAAUUUCUGUAGGUCAAGUAAACAAUUUAUUUUGAAUCACAUUCCCCAUUCUCAUUCCAGCUCAUUCUGAUUCCAGCCUAUUCUGAUUCCAACCCAUUCCAAUUACUGACAAGUAAAUGCACCAUUAAUGUAACUUACAACCCACUUAAAACAAUACAAAAAUCAGGUGGAUCUCACUGUUAUGUUACUCAUUUAUACAUAUAAUAUGUGGGUUACAUUAAUUGCAACUUAGUAAAAUCGUUCAAUGAAUUACAGCACUCACAAUUUUGUAAUCCUUCAGUGAAUUACAACAUUGGCAAUUUUGUAAUAUACAAUACUGGCAAUUUUAUAUAAUUGAAGCAGUAAUAGUUUGGCAAAUAAAAUUAGAAACCUUUCCCAAAUCUGGCUGAGUUAAGAGCCAGCUUAGCCCACACUCUCCUUCACCACUGGUUGAUAAGUUCUUUCUUCGAUUUUUAAACUUGAAGUGACAUUCCUUCGGUGUCCAAAAUUUUUAUAGUCUCCCCACAUCCUCUAAGUUCAACAAUAGAGUCAGAAUGACGAUGGAGUUUCACACAAUCAAAUAUAAUCCUAAUGAUUCUUUUUAUACGCCCACUCGUACGCAGACUUGUUUAGUUGAUGUUUAAUUAAGCACGAAAUUGAUGUUUGAUCGUAAUUAAUUAGAUGAACACACACAUGCAUGAGUAAAUACAUAAAAUUAAAUUAACCAAAACAGUAAAUAUAAGAGUAAAUCGAUCGUAUGUGUGCAGACACCACAACCGAAUUAUAUAUAUCACCGCCAGACAUAAAUCUUAUUCCAAUGAUAUAUGAUUAAUUAUUGUUAUUAAAUUGUAAUGUCAAUUGUGCAUAGAAGAUUUAUUCUUUCUAGAUGAAAUAUGAAAGUUAGUAACUUUUUUCCCUUUUUUUAAAUAAUAAUCGUCAAAACAAAUUAAAAAGGAUAUUGGGACUUGAGUUUUGGGUCUACUUGAGUUAGAAAUAUCGCUAAUAGGGUAAAUCAAUAAUACAAUACUUUUUUCUUUUUUUGAAAACCCUCAUAUAGUUCAUGGUCCUACUCAUAUACUAAAUUAAUAAUUCUUUGAAGUUACCAAUAAUUGUUAU
rnacentral:lncRNA from 1 species